rnacentral:rRNA from 1 species
CGUGUAGGCGGUUGGUUAAGUCGGAUGUGAAAGCCUGGGGCUCAGCCCCAGAAGUGCAUCCGAAACUAUCCAGCUAGAGCGCGAUAGAGGAGGGUGGAAUUCCUGGUGUAGCGGUGAAAUGCGUAGAUAUCAGGAGGAACACCGGCGGCGAAGGCGGCCCUCUGGAUCGUUGCUGACGCUGAGACGCGAAAGCGUGGGGAGCAAACAGGAUUAGAUACCCUGGUAGUCCACGCCUUAAACGAUGGGUACUAGGUGUUCGGGGUGUUGAUCCCCUGAGUGCCGCAGUUAACGCAUUAAGUACCCCGCCUGGGGACUACGGCCGCAAGGUUAAA